GACGAACGCUGGCGGCGUGCUUAACACAUGCAAGUCGAACGGAAAGGCUCUGCUUUUGUGGGGUGCUCGAGUGGCGAACGGGUGAGUAACACGUGAGUAACCUGCCCUUGACUUUGGGAUAACUUCAGGAAACUGGGGCUAAUACCGGAUAGGAGCUCCUGCUGCAUGGUGGGGGUUGGAAAGUUUCGGCGGUUGGGGAUGGACUCGCGGCUUAUCUGCGUGUUGGUGGGGUAGUGGCUGACCAAGGCUUUGACGGGUAGCCGGCCUGGGAGGGUGACCGGCCACCUUGGGCCUGACGUACGGCCCAGAAUCCUACGGGAGGCGGCAGUGUGGAAUGUUGCGCGAUGGGCGGAAUCCUAACGCAGCAGCGCCGCGUGCGGGAUGACGGCCUUCGGGUUGUACCCCGCUUUCGCCUGUGACGAAGCCUGAGUGACGGUAAUGGGUAAGGGCACACCGGCUAACUACGUG
rnacentral:rRNA from 1 species